UCAGCACAAAGGCUUUGGAGGGUUUUCUGUUAAAGAAAGGAAUAAUCAAAGAGAACAAGAAAGAAGAAGAGGAUGAUGAUUCAUAUGAUGAUAGAAAUAGAUCAGUGAGAUCGUCAAUCAAUCCUGAUUCUGAUUCAGACUGAUUGUUUCUUCUAAUCAAACGAGUAUUUAUCAACAUCUUCCAUUUGCUGAAUCUCACAGAUCUUGGGAUACCUCAUAUUAUCUAAUACAAUGUAUUUGCAUUGUUGAGAUGAUAACUGCAAAAGAUUGAAUAGUCUGCUUGAGAUAGUAUGUUGUAGUAGUUUAACAUUUCUAUCAGUUGCUUCUUAGUCCAGUUAUACGGAGAGAAGAAAACGAACUGUAUUAUUGCAAAGUGGUCUGAGUUCUUCCCAUUUCUCCCAACGGGUUCUUGAAAAUAUGUAGUUGUAUCUAAAUUCUCUUACUCUAUUAUUGUUAUGUUUUCGAGAAAAUGAACGAAGAGACGGGA
rnacentral:misc_RNA from 1 species